rnacentral:rRNA from 1 species
UGGCUGUAACUAUAACGGUCCAAAGGUAGCUAAAUUCCUUGUCACUUCAAUAGUGACCCGCAUGAAAGAUUUAAUGACUCAACUUAUAUUCUACGACCAUAACCAAAAGGAACAUUAGACUACGUGAAGACAUGAACACUAAUAGGAUAGGACAAAAAGACCUCAAGAAGCUUUAUUGGGAGAGAGAACGAGAAACACUAGUAGAUGGGAUCUAUGGAACAUAGGUAGCUAAUUAUACAUUCAGUAGACAUACAGGUAAGUAUUUGACAUCAGGUUAUUUUAUUGGGGCUAUUUCUUUAUGUAGGGUAAUAAUAGGGAGCUAAGAGAAUACAUGAACGUAGGAAGAUCUUUAGUAAGGACAUAUCAUUGGACAUAGCUAGCUUAAAGGAAGGUUUAUAGCAGAAGGAGAGAAUCAGAGCAUUAGUGAACUUAGUUACAACAUACCAGAUAACAGUUACUCCUUGGAUAACAGGCUUAUACAAGUUAACAGAUCAUUUAAAGGCAUAGCAUUGGCACCUCGAUGUCGGCUUGUCUACUUAUUAGGACAUUGAUUAAUACAAAUAGGGUGGUUGCUCAUCACGUAAAGUGGCAAGUGA